AUGGUGGGGAUCCGUAAGCGGUCUUGGUCUGGUCGUGAUGAGGACAUGACUACCUUGGAUAUGACCAAAAAUAUUGCAUAUAUGCAUAUUUGUCAGGUGAUUUCUAGUGCAAACUAUUCAAUAAUCUAUUUAUGUUAUCCAGAACAAAAAUACUUCACACACUUUUGUGUUUUGUCUAAUUGCAGGUGUAUGGGACAUUUGUACAAUCCACAUAUGAAGAUAAGGAAGAAAGAGAUGUUUAUUUGCUGUCCAAAAAGUUCUCUCACGUCACUUUUGGCCCAAGAGAAGAUAGAGUCCAAGUCUCUCACGUUCUGGAUUCAGAUUCGGACUGCACAGACACACCUGACUCAAAACGCACACAAGUUUUUCAUACGGACUCCGAAUUGGGUGAUUCUUUUUUUGUUGGAAACUAGAUUUCGUGCACUUUCCAACCCAAUUGGAAUCACCUUCAAAUGCGUCCGGAGCGUUGAGUUGUGGACGAAACAAUCUGAUGAGGACAUCAAUACAAUUGUUACACCCACAGCCCCUGCUGCUAUACAUACUGGACCAAUUACUAGAGCUCGUGCACGCCAACUAAAUUACCAGGUACUUUCGUUUCUUGGUAAUGAUUCUAAUGUUCAUGAGAAUAUGAUGCUGCCUAAAUUGGAUACAUUUGUUUUGCUUACAAAUGAAGGGCCUAGCUUGGAGAAGGAUGAACAUUGGAGCAAGAACAAGCAUGGAGAUGAUGGCAUGCGCAAGGGGAACAAUAACGGAGUUACAAGUGAUGAUUUCAGGACUUUGAAGCCACCAUAA
rnacentral:rRNA from 1 species